AUGCAGCGGUUCAGGAAGCGGAUCCUGCCCAGCAGCAGGUGAGGGUUGUCGCCCACAGACAUGAUGAAGAUAAGGAUGACAGUCAGCAGCUCAGUAGGGGGCCCACAGCUGACAUUACACCACUUUCCUGAUGCUUCUGUCAAAACAAAGCCAACAACACAGAAUAUUCUCGUUACACAGAGCAUUCAGUGAACAGCAGCCACAUCCUGUUAUGUAAUUAGAUUGUUAUCUCUCUUCCACAGGAGUAUAAAGGUUAUAUUAUCCUCUGAUUAGUGACCAAAGUCCGCAAACAGGGAGAAAGUCUCGGCUCCUUAUAAGAGCUAACGUUAGCAUGCUAGCUAGGUAAAUGUAUUCUGAGACGUUAACGACAGCCGUUAUCAACAACAACAUGUUUAUUUUACAGUUAAUGAGAGAGAUUUAAUGACAUUAAAGACAAGGUGGUAUCUAAAAUUAACACUGACGUACCCUUUCUGCCGAUUAAUAUUUAUAAGUGAAACUCGUCUGUCGUUCAAAUUGACUUCUUUGGAUUUCUCAACGCGGAAGAAGCGCAACAGAGACUUUUGACCCUGUGCGAUUUCCGUCGUUUGUAUUUCAAAAUAAAAGUCUCACCGCGGAUGGUGAAUCAUCAUGGAUGUAUAAAGAGAUUUAGGAGGCUUUGAAAAAGGGGGAAAAUAAAACGGCUGCAUACAGAGCGGUUGGAGUGGACCGGAAAACAAUUGCAGAGACACUGCGAGAAGGGUCCAGCCGCAGCCAAACGGUGGAGGUUGACCCUGUUGUUGAACCUGUUGUAAGUUGUACUUCCAAAUGAUGGUCAGAAGAGAGCGCGCCCAACACGUGAGACGCUGACGCAAGGAUAUUUAACGAGGGAGGUUACAUGCAUAGGUUACAGGGGAGGCUUUGCGCAGGUUAGAUUCACUUUGCGAAUCGCCAAACUUUCCUGGCAACCUCCUCUUUCGCGACCCAGUGACGUCCCAGUUAAGGAUGUCGUGUUUUUUCAUCAUCUGUCAGUGUCACACGUUUAAUGAAGUCAGCUUCUGUUUUCCUUAAUGUAGUGUAGUUUUCCAUAAGACCCUCGAUUAGAUCGGUGCAAUCUGUGAGUGUUAUAAUGGAACUGAACAUUGCAGGCCUUUUGUUGCGUAGUCGCUCAUUUCAAACAGCCUGUUGAACAUGACGAGAAUAAACACAAUGUAUUGUGAUGAUGAGUAAAGGAGCAGCAAUUUGCAGUAUCUCAUUCUGGAUAUCGGUGCUUGUAAGUUUCCCGUUCCCCGGCAGGUCGUCGUCGUCAUCGAUUAGAUUUAUGAGUCGAAAAUUAUAAAAAUGUGGAUAUUAUCCGAUUAUUCCCACAGAUCUUAUUUCGAGCUAUUUUCCAAAAUCCUAUGGAGAAAUCUCAUCGCUUCUUUGUCGAGGGAACCGUUCUUAUUAUACAUCCAUGGAGGGAAGGGAACCCAUGCGCCGCUUACUUCCGGGUUUUAGGACGCGUCACUGUAACUCUGAAUUUGUAAACAAUGAUUUUCGAAAAAUCAAAACGUAUUGAAAGUCAGACAAUUUACAAUAUGCUACAUUCACUGGCUGCUGUGACAGAUUUUACAGAUAAUUGUUCAGCCUUUUGGUGGGUGGGCCUUGGUCCCAGGUGGCCCACCCACAGCUACGUGUGUCCAAACUGCCCUUUUCAACUCUGGCUGCUGUGGAGGAUGGAUGUUUCAGCGGAGGAGAGUCUAACACUAGGAGAAGCAUCCUCCUCUUCCUCCUCAUGUGGGAGUGACGCCCCAUCCAGCAGAGAUGGAAGGCUGCAGCCGCGAAGGAUUCCUUUACCUCUCAGCAGAAAACCCUCCAGACCCUCACCCUGAGAGCCCUUCAGAGGUGGAUCCUUUGAAGGCGGGUGUGAGAGUCUCUGCUGCCGUGGACAGAGUGUAAGGGACGGAGAAAUGUCUCUGCUCCCAGUGCUUGUCCUUCUCGAUGGGAGCCAGGUUCUGGUACAUAUCGUCUACAGCCAGCAUGGACACCUGGAGCAGAGAGAGAGAGCGGUGAGCAGUCGAUGUUGAAGAGAAACCUCAGAUGCAUUAGUGGAUCAUGAGACAAUGAGCCCCUCGGCAAAGACAUGCAAAAGGCCUCAAAACCCUACUUUACAUUGGAGCAGGACACAUAGAUAUUAUUGUUCGGUCUCUUUUUGUUGUUGUUUUCGGUCUUUUUGUAGUCAUUUGUUUCUCGUUGUAGUACUUUUGAGUCUCUCCGCUGUCUUUUUGUGUCGCUUUGUAGCUGUUUUGUGUCUCUUUUGUGGACAUUCUCAGUGUUUUGGAGUUGUUGUGUUUCUGUCUGUAGUACAUGUGUGUCCAUUUGUUGUCUUUUAGUGUCUCUUUGUGGUCAUUCAUGUCUCUAGGUAGUAGACUUGAAUCUCGUUGUCUUUAUUUCCAGGGUGUUUGUGGUUACAGUGAGUGUCCAUGGUCAUUAUAAGUCGCUUUUGUAAUCAAUGCAAUCUCUUUGUACUUGUUUUGCAUGUCUCAAGUUCAUUUUUAUCUCUUUGUGAUAAUGUUAAGUCUUGUUUUGGUAAUUGGGUGUCUCUUUGUGGCCUUUUUUUAGCUUUGUAUUCAGUCUAAGUGGUCAUUUUCUGUAUCUCUGUCAUUCUGUGUCUCUUUGAAGUUGUUUUGUCUCUUUGUGGUCAUUGUCUGUAUCUUGAGGUGACAACCUGAAUGUUUCUGUCGAUCAGCUGGUUGGUUUCAAAGUCGUCAUCAUCCUCGCCAAAUGGAUUGAUGAUCAGCUCCCCGACCUACAGAGAGGAAACCGGUCAUGAAAUCCCAACAACAGAUUCCUCAACAAAAUUAAAACAAAAAUCAGUUUACUACAAGAGAAACGAGACACACGUUACCUUGAGCCAGCC